AAUUGCUUUCCAAGUGCCAAUUGAUACUAACUCCACAGUUAUCAGGACAGGGGAGUUUCUUUGGCAUUGAGCCUAAAUGCUUGAUCCUGUUCCAUUCUUUAGCUAAUUUUUCCCUGUCUUGGAAAGGGACUAGAAGGGCUUGUGCAGGUAGAGGCAAUGCUUUUCCAUUCCCGUCACAUUUAGACGGCUGUUCACAGCCACAGGCACAAGUGUUGCAGGGUACAACAGAGUCGGUGUAGAAAGCUGAGAAUGAAACACAGCAUUUCGCCUGUUUUGGCUGUGGACGCGUGAUGUUGCAAGUGAUUUGCCAACUAGCAACAGCAUUAAGAGUAAUUCCGAUUUUAUUAGGAUCAGGGAAUCCUGUUGGAUCAACUCUAAUAGGCGGACCACAUUUGUAGGACGGAUUGACUCUACCCACGAUAUUCCAGUUCUGAGGCGGAUACAGGGCAGUUCUGUUCAUAUCAGGAGGAAGUUUGAAAACUUCCAUCUGGAAAAUAGAUCGAGCCUUAGUCCCGUUCAUUGUAGUUGGCAAGAGAGCUCCGUUUUUGCAACAGAAAGGUAACUUGCCAAGUUUGUCAUUGUUUUCCAUUUCAG
rnacentral:lncRNA from 1 species